UACGGAGGAUGCGAGCGUUAUCCGGAUUUAUUGGGUUUAAAGGGUGCGUAGGCGGCUUUUUAAGUCAGCGGUGAAAUUUUGCAGCUCAACUGUAAAAGUGCCUUCGAAACUGGUUUCCUUGAGUGUGGAUGAAGUAGGCGGAAUUUGUGGUGUAGCGGUGAAAUGCAUAGAUAUCACGAGGAACUCCGAUUGCGCAGGCAGCUUACUAAACCAUAACUGACGCUCAGGCACGAAGGCGUGGGGAUCAAACAGGAUUAGAUACCCGUGUA
rnacentral:rRNA from 1 species